rnacentral:rRNA from 1 species
AUUGAACGCUGGCGGCAUGCUUUACACAUGCAAGUCGAACGGUAACAGGCCGCAAGGUGCUGACGAGUGGCGAACGGGUGAGUAAUGCAUCGGAACGUGCCCAGUCGUGGGGGAUAACGCAGCGAAAGCUGUGCUAAUACCGCAUACGAUCUAUGGAUGAAAGCGGGGGACCGUAAGGCCUCGCGCGAUUGGAGCGGCCGAUGUCAGAUUAGGUAGUUGGUGGGGUAAAGGCUCACCAAGCCAACGAUCUGUAGCUGGUCUGAGAGGACGACCAGCCACACUGGGACUGAGACACGGCCCAGACUCCUACGGGAGGCAGCAGUGGGGAAUUUUGGACAAUGGGCGCAAGCCUGAUCCAGCAAUGCCGCGUGCAGGAAGAAGGCCUUCGGGUUGUAAACUGCUUUUGUACGGAACGAAACGGCGAGCUCUAAUACAGUUUGCUAAUGACGGUACCGUAAGAAUAAGCACCGGCUAACUACGUGUCAGCCGCCGCAGUAA